GUCCCUAUCAUAUUUAACUUCUUAAAAGAAUGAUCCUAUACAGAGAAGAUUAUCAUGGCCCCCUAUGCCAGAAUGACACACAAAUUUGUGAGGUGUUCCAUAUUAAA
ensembl:snRNA U6 U6 spliceosomal RNA